CCUUGGGUCCGGCAUAACCCCGGGAAACUGGGGAUAAUUCCGGAUAACGCACAUAUGCUGGAAUGCUUUAUGCGUAAAAUGGAUUCGUCUGCCCAAGGAUGGGUCUGCGGCCUAUCAGGUAGUAGUGGGUGUAAUGUACCUACUAGCCAACAACGGGUACGGGUUGUGAGAGCAAGAGCCCGGAGAUGGAUUCUGAGACAUGAAUCCAGGCCCUACGGGGCGCAGCAGGCGCGAAAACUUUACAAUGCGGGAAACCGUGAUAAGGGGACACCGAGUGCCAGCAUCAUAUGCUGGCUGUCCAGGUGUGUAAAAUACACCUGUCAGCAAGGGCCGGGCAAGACCGGUGCCAGCCGCCGCGGUAACACCGGCGGCCCGAGUGGUGAUCGUGAUUAUUGGGUCUAAAGGGUCCGUAGCCGGUUUGGUCAGUCCUCCGGGAAAUCUGACGGCUCAACCGUUAGGCUUUCGGGGGAUACUGCCAGGCUUGGAACCGGGAGAGGUAAGAGGUACUACAGGGGUAGGAGUGAAAUCUUGUAAUCCCUGUGGGACCACCUGUGGCGAAGGCGUCUUACCAGAACGGGUUCGACGGUGAGGGACGAAAGCUGGGGGCACGAACCGGAUUAGAUACCCGGGUAGUCCCAGCCGUAAACGAUGCUCGCUAGGNGNCAGGCAUGGCGCGACCGUGUCUGGUGCCGCAGGGAAGCCGUGAANCGAGCCACCUGGGAAGUACNGCCGCAAGGCUGAAACUUAAAGGAAUUGGCGGGGGAGCAC
rnacentral:rRNA from 1 species